UACUAGAGAGAAAAAUUUCCCCUCUGAACACAGCAGGGGGGCUGUAGCAUUUCAGGCAGCAGAGGAUCAGGGGGGUGGGGAAGUUUGUCAGUCUCCAUCAGGUUGCCUGGGUCAUGGAAUAUAUAGGGCACCCGCAUCCUGGAGUGCUCAGGAGAAGAGAUACAUGAGAUCACAGCUCCAAGCUCCAACUAUCAUGAAGAUCAGCCUUCACUAGGCAGAUGCCUAGGUUAGGAGAGCUGGAUUCUAAGGGGGAGGAAGCAUGUUAUCAUAGCUCAAGGUUCCUGUUUUUCUGUUGGAAGAAGCAUGAUCCAGAAGCUAAAGAAAAGCAAAUCACGGUCUGGUAUACAUGGUGUCAAGUCUGGCAAAUGCUCAUACUUGGAUACAGGUUGGUGGUGAAUGUCUGGGCUCCAUUUCUACCAAGAAAAAGAGGAUGUGUUUGUAUGGUGAUUUUCCUGUCCCAGGGCCUCCUAGAAAUGGCAGCCACCCUCCUUCCUCCAGCAGCCACCUCCCACCCAAUCUCAUGGUUUCAUUAAAUAAGUCUUGGGAAAUUCCCAUCAAAUCAGCAAAAAGCUCAAGCAGAAGUCAAUAUAAAGGAAAGGAGAAGGGUGUCAGAAAGAGAAGAGGGAGAAGGAGGAUGGACCAUAACUAGAGAGAUUGAUAUUAAAAGAAACUUUCCAGUUAUU